rnacentral:tRNA from 1 species
GCUUUCAUGGUGUAACGGUAACACACUCGGUGCGUAUUCGAGAGGUCCAGGUUCGAGUCCCAGCGAGAGCA